rnacentral:rRNA from 1 species
AACGAACGCUGGCGGCAUGCCUAACACAUGCAAGUCGAACGAGAUCUUCGGGUCUAGUGGCGCACGGGUGCGCAACGCGUGGGAAUCUGCCCUUUGGUUCGGAAUAACAGUUGGAAACGACUGCUAAUACCGGAUGAUGACGAAAGUCCAAAGAUUUAUCGCCAGAGGAUGAGCCUGCGUAGGAUUAGCUAGUUGGUGUGGUAAAGGCGCACCAAGGCGACGAUCCUUAGCUGGUCUGAGAGGAUGAUCAGCCACACUGGGACUGAGACACGGCCCAGACUCCUACGGGAGGCAGCAGUGGGGAAUAUUGGACAAUGGGCGAAAGCCUGAUCCAGCAAUGCCGCGUGAGUGAUGAAGGCCUUAGGGUUGUAAAGCUCUUUUACCCGGGAUGAUAAUGACAGUACCGGGAGAGUAAGCUCCGGCUAACUCCGUGCCAGCAGCCGCGGUAA